rnacentral:rRNA from 1 species
CCUACGGGAGGCAGCAGUGGGGAAUAUUGCGCAAUGGACGAAAGUCUGACGCAGCGACGCCGCGUGAGGGAUGAAGGUUUUCGGAUCGUAAACCUCUGUCAGGAGGGAAGAAAGCGCAUGGCGCCAAUCAGCCAUGCGUUGACGGUACCUCCAAAGGAAGCGCCGGCUAACUCCGUGCCAGCAGCCGCGGUGAUACGUAGGUGGCGAGCGUUAUCCGGAAUGAUUGGGCGUAAAGGGUGCGCAGGCGGUCCUGCAAGUCUGGAGUGAAACGCAUGAGCUCAACUCAUGCAUGGCUUUGGAAACUG